UAACGCAUGCUAUAAAUAGCACUCCUUAUUUCGGACUUUAGUGAAUCGGGCCCAAAGUCUUAUAUAUUUGAAGAAAAAUCUUAUGCUGCAAAAUUAAUAACAUAACUUUAAGUUAUAAUAAUGGGAAAACCAAAAUAUGAUGAUAAAUAUGAUCAUGUUUUCUUUUCUUUUAUCAAUAAUUAUUAUGAAAGAGUGCUUAUUUUUUCACUGUCUGCAUAAAUGACUGAAUUGGAUCUUACAAAAGGUGACAUCUGUAUGAGAAAAACCUCAAAAAUUUCAUUGAGUGAGGAACAUUGGGAGCAUCAGCUACUGUUUGGGGAUACACAGACUGGAUUGGAUUGUAUAGUUCCAAUUGCUGGAUUGUAUAGUUCCAAUUUCUAACUGCCUAUUGACUCUGAAGACAUGAAGUGCCUUUCAUCAGAUGUUACCAGCCUACUGGAUUGGUGGCAGAGAGAUUUUUUCAGAAUUAGAAAAAAUCUUGAACUUUGUCCAUCAAAUGAAUCAUACGUUGAGCUCAUUCAAGAUCUCUCCAACUUUCUCUCCAGUUGCAGUGUAUUAAUGGAGCUACCCCAUUCAGUUGUAAGAGCGUUUGCACCGAAACUAUUUUGAAGCAUGUGAAGUGUAAGCUCUUAUAAUAAUAUGUUUGUGUAUGGUGUUGAAGGCCUUAAAGAAGAAUAAAAGUUUACUUGGCAAUAA